rnacentral:pre_miRNA from 1 species
UUGGAUAUAACUGAAAGACACGGGUAGUGAGAUAUGGAUUUUUCAUCUCUAUAUUCGUGUCUUUCAUAUUUAUUCACG